CCUACGGGUGACAGCAGUGGGGAAUAUUGCGCAAUGGGCGAAAGCCUGACGCAGCGACGCCGCGUGAGGGAUGAAGGUCUUCGGAUCGUAAACCUCUGUCAGCAGGGAAAAACGGUCACUGUGCUAAUCAGCAGUGAAUUCACGGUACCUGCAAAGGAAGCACCGGCUAACUCCGUGCCAGCAGCCGCGGUAAUACGGAGGGUGAGAGCGUUAAUCGGAAUUACUGGGCGUAAAGCGCUCGUAGGCGGUAUGUCAAGUCAAGGGGGAAAUCCCCGCGCUCAACGUGGGAACUGCCUUUGAUAAUGGCAAACUGGAGUGUGUGAGAGGAUAGUGGAAUUCCAGGUGUAGGAGUGAAAUCCGGAGAUAUCUGGAGGAACAUCAGUGGCGAAGGCGACUAUCUGGCACAUAACUGACGCUGAGGAGCGAAAGCGUGGGUAGCAAACAGGAUUAGAUACCCGAGUAGUC
rnacentral:rRNA from 1 species